rnacentral:rRNA from 1 species
UACGAAGGGUGCAAGCGUUACUCGGAAUUACUGGGCGUAAAGCGUGCGCAGGCGGUGAGCUGUGUCCGAUGUGAAAGCCCCGGGCUUAACCUGGGAAUGGCAUUGGAAACUGGCUCGCUGGAGUGUGGCAGAGGGGGGUGGAAUUCCGCGUGUAGCAGUGAAAUGCGUAGAGAUGCGGAGGAACACCGAUGGCGAAGGCAGCCCCCUGGGCUAACACUGACGCUCAGGCACGAAAGCGUGGGGAGCAAACAGG